GACGAACGCUGGCGGCGUGCUUUACACAUGCAAGUCGAACGGUGAAGGUGGAGCUUGCUCCGCCGGAUCAGUGGCGAACGGGUGAGUAACACGUGGGCAACCUGCCCCUAACUUUGGGAUAACUACUCGAAAGAGUAGCUAAUACCGGAUAUGAAGUCUGUAGGCAUCUAUGGAUUUGGAAAGUUUUUCGGUUAGGGAUGGGCCCGCGGCCUAUCAGCUUGUUGGUGAGGUAGUGGCUCACCAAGGCGACGACGGGUAGCCGGCCUGAGAGGGGGACCGGCCACGCUGGGACUGGGACACGGCCCAGACUCCUACGGGAGGCAGCAGUGGGGAAUAUUGCGCAAGGGGCGAAAGCCUGACGCAGCAACGCCGCGUGCGGGAUGCCGGCCUCCGGGUUGUAAGCCGCUUUCAGCAGGGAAGAAGCCGCAAGGUGACGGUACCUGCAGAAGAAGCACCGGCUAACUACGUGCCAGCAGCCGCCGUAA
rnacentral:rRNA from 1 species